rnacentral:SRP_RNA from 1 species
UGAGAGGUUGGUGCGGACGAGCUCCUCGCCAACCCGGUCAGGUCCGGAAGGAAGCAGCCGUAACGAGUUUUUCGGUUCGGGUCGCAUUCAACCUCUCACCU